rnacentral:rRNA from 1 species
GAUGAACGCUGGCGGCGUGCCUAAUACAUGCAAGUCGAGCGAACGGACGAGAAGCUUGCUUCUCUGAUGUUAGCGGCGGACGGGUGAGUAACACGUGGAUAACCUACCUAUAAGACUGGGAUAACUUCGGGAAACCGGAGCUAAUACCGGAUAAUAUUUUGAACCGCAUGGUUCAAAAGUGAAAGACGGUCUUGCUGUCACUUAUAGAUGGAUCCGCGCUGCAUUAGCUAGUUGGUAAGGUAACGGCUUACCAAGGCAACGAUGCAUAGCCGAACUGAGAGGGUGAUCGGCCACACUGGAACUGAGACACGGUCCAGACUCCUACGGGAGGCAGCAGUAGGGAAUCUUCCGCAAUGGGCGAAAGCCUGACGGAGCAACGCCGCGUGUGUGAUGAAGGUCUUCGGAUCGUAAAACUCUGUUAUUAGGGAAGAACAUAUGUGUAAGUAACUGUGCACAUCUUGACGGUACCUAAUCAGAAAGCCACGGCUAACUACGUG